rnacentral:lncRNA from 1 species
CUUAUGUUUUUGUAUAGUUAGUUUAGCCAUAAAAACAAUGAACCCUUCUUGGUCUUUAAUCCCUUGAUGUUCGACUUCUUUGACAGGGUCCCACCUAUGUCUUCUCAGUUGGUUUCCGUAACCCUGUGCCAUCCUGGUUUGCCUCUGAUGUAA